AUUAAGGUAUAUACAUAAAUAUUUAAACUUAAUCGCUUUCGUUAAUAUAUUUUUUUUCUGUGCUAUACAUCGUUUCAUAUUUUUUAAAUAAUUUUCGGACAAAAGAAAAACGUGUUCUUUUAUAAACAUCAGAACACAACACACGUAAAAUUGUAGUUAAUACAAAAUAUGGGUAAUUAUUAUUUAGCACAAUAUACUUGUAGUUAUUUAAUUAGGUUAUAACAGUUUAUUAGGUUUGUUCAUAUAUAUAUAUAUAUAUAUAAAUUUUCUCUCCAAUAAAGGAAAACAAAAAUAUAAAAUAGUAAAAAAAAAAAAAAAAAAAAAAAAGCUAAUUACGUGUAUAGUGCUAACACUAAAAGACAUACUUCAUACAAUAAAAUGUGCGAUUUAAUUGUAACUCUUUUUGUAUGAAAAAUUAUGAAACAUUUAACAUAGAUAAUACCGCUAUAUAUCAUGUAAAAAGAAUAUAUUUAUAUACAUAUAUAUAUAUAUUUUUUUUUUUUUUUUUUUUUUUUUUUUUUUUUUUUGCUUUCUUUUCUAAUUUACAUACUAAGUCAACAACAGAAACAUUUGCAACUGGUACUCUAAAAGCAACACCUGUUAUUUUUCCAAGUAACUCUGGUAUUACUU
rnacentral:lncRNA from 1 species